GCGAAGAUAACUGGGAAGGACUUGGGAGGAGUGGGCUUUUGCGGGGCAGGUGCCGGGAAAAUCCUGCGUCCCGCGUCAGUGGCCUUACCCUUGAGAACUCGCUCCUAAAGGGUUUUUUUUUUUUUUUUUACCUCCGGGAAACCAUGGAGCAGCAGGUGUACAAUUGUCUUGGGGGCGGCAGAUGAAAUUUUAAAAAAGGGUCGAGAGCAAACUCCCGAGCAUCGCCAGGUAUAAAUGUUAACACGAAAUUUUGCGCGUUGGGGAAAGGUUUUAAAGGUGUCAGCUAACCAGGCAAGGCCCUCCGCAAAAGGAAACUCGAAUCCCUUAUAGAGAGCGGAUUUCUUCUUCAUUCUCAGAUGCUGAAAUUUGUGUUAGAAAAGCCGGGGACGGUGGCCUCUAGUUGUGAGAAGUUCCAGCUCAUUCCGCUUUCAGUCUUUUGAAGUUGAGGGAGAGUUUGUUUUUCUUUUUUAACAGAAGGAAUAACACGGCCGGACCUUAUUUUCAUCUUACUAAUGUCAAAUAAUUGUCUUCCGCAUAAAUAACUUUAUUAAAAUUUGUUUUCCUAUUUUU